rnacentral:tRNA from 1 species
UGGGGUAUCGUCUAACGGUAAGACAUGGGUUUUUGGUGCCUAGAAUAGAGGUUCGAUUCCUUUUGCCCCAGCCA